AUUGAACGCUGGCGGCAGGCCUAACACAUGCAAGUCGAGCGGAUGAAGGGAGCUUGCUCCUGGAUUCAGCGGCGGACGGGUGAGUAAUGCCUAGGAAUCUGCCUGGUAGUGGGGGAUAACGUCCGGAAACGGGCGCUAAUACCGCAUACGUCCUGAGGGAGAAAGUGGGGGAUCUUCGGACCUCACGCUAUCAGAUGAGCCUAGGUCGGAUUAGCUAGUUGGUGGGGUAAAGGCCUACCAAGGCGACGAUCCGUAACUGGUCUGAGAGGAUGAUCAGUCAAACUGGAACUGAGACAGGGUCCAGAACCCUAGGGGAGGAAGCAGGGGGGAAUAGUGGAAAAGGGGCGAAAGCCUGAUCAAGCCAUGCCGCGUGGGUGAAGAAGGUAUUAGGUUUGAAAAGAAUUUUAGGUGGGGAAGAAGGGAAGAAAGUUAAUACCUGGCUGUUUUGACGGUACAAAAAGAAUAAGAACGGGCUAACUUCGGG
rnacentral:rRNA from 1 species